rnacentral:rRNA from 1 species
AGAGCGUCUUCAUUGACCUCUCACCCUUCACAUCCACAUACACCUGUGCACCGUUUGGCUCUUUUAAAAGACGCAAGUCUGCAAUGAGAGUCAUCAAUUUUUAUACAUACCCCAGUCUUAUGAAUGUAACAGUUUUAAUAAACAUAAUAAAACUUUUAACAACGGAUCUCUUGGUUCUCGCAUCGAUGAAGAACGCAGCGAAAUGCGAUAAGUAAUGUGAAUUGCAGAAUUCAGUGAAUCAUCGAAUCUUUGAACGCACCUUGCGCUCCUUGGUAUUCCGAGGAGCAUGCCUGUUUGAGUGUCAUGAAACUCUCAACCUUCAACUUUUUUAUUAAGGCUGAAGGCUUGGACUUGAGCGCUGCUGGUUUUUACUAACCGGCUCGCUUGAAAUGAAUUAGCAGAUCCUUUUUGUAAUCGGUUCCACUCGACGUGAUAAGUAUUUCGCCGAGGACAUAUGAAAGUAUGGCCGAGAUAAGGAAAGUCUUUAGAUCCGCUUCUAAUUCUUAGAUCAAGCUUGCUUGACUAAACCCCAUUUUAUGAUCUGGCCUCAAAUCAGGUAGGACUACCCGCUGAACUUAAGCAUAUCAAUAAGCGGAGGA